CCGGGCCAGAAGAAAGAGCCCCCUCCCCCAACGCUUCCGCCUGCGGUCCUCAUUCGGUCCUCUCCCUCCUCUCUUCUAGCUUGACAUGCCUGCAGGGUCUCCUGGCGCGCACUGCCAAGCUGACCCCUUUAGGGGUGGCUUCCCCCCCCCAAGGCGGCAGUGCACCUGCUUCACAUGGAGGAGGAAGCAAGUAGCCCCUCUCCGCAAAGCCAGGCCAGAACCGCAGAUGGAAGAGGGUAUCCCCUCUGGUGCUGUUCUUCAGCCUCCGCCCACUAGCUGGAGUCCGUGAGAAGAAUCGUCCUUGCUGAGCUGUCCUGGCUGUGCCUCUAAACCAAUGAAGAAGAGCUGCAGAUCGAAGAUUUGGAAUAAGAGGCAGGACAGCAAGGGAGGGAGCCCUGUUUCUCUCUGUGUGUGUGUGUUGCUUGAGCGCUUUUGUUGUUGUUAUAUAUAUAUUGUAUUUUUUAAUCUUUAGAUUCAUAAAUAAAGUCAAUUUUGACUGAC